AUGUACAUUCCUACAACAUAGCGUUAAUGCAUAGAAUCCCAUUAGAACUUUGUAAUUAAGCACACUUGGGAUAGAGUAGUACUGGGAUGGGUGACCACCCAAGAAGUCUUAGUUUUUUACAUG
rnacentral:rRNA from 1 species